rnacentral:rRNA from 1 species
AGUGAACGCUGGCGGUAGGCCUAACACAUGCAAGUCGAACGGCAGCACAGUAAGAGCUUGCUCUUACGGGUGGCGAGUGGCGGACGGGUGAGGAAUACAUCGGAAUCUACUUUUUCGUGGGGGAUAACGUAGGGAAACUUACGCUAAUACCGCAUACGACCUACGGGUGAAAGCAGGGGAUCUUCGGACCUUGCGCUAUUGAAUGAGCCUAUGUCGGAUUAGCUAGAUGGCGGGGUAAAGGCACACCAAGGCCACGAUCCGUAGCUGGUCUGACAGGAUGGUCAGCCACACUGGAACUGAGAAACGGCCCAGACUCUGACGGGAGGCAGCAGUGGGGAAUAUUGGACGAUGGGCGCAAGCCUGAUACAGCCAUACCGCGUGGGUGAAGAAGGCCUUCGGGUUGUAAAGCCCUUUUGUCGGGAGAGAAAAGCAGCAGGUUAAUACGCCGCUGUUAUGACGGUACCCAAAGAAUAAGCACCGGCUAACUUCGUG